UGAGUUUGGAUCAUGGCUCAGGAUGAACGCUGGCGGCGUGCUUAACACAUGCAAGUCGAACGAAGCAACUUAUUACGAUCCUUUCGGGGUGACGAUUUGUUGACUGAGUGGCGGACGGGUGAGUAACGCGUGGGUAACCUACCUUGUACAGGGGGACAACAGUUGGAAACGACUGCUAAUACCGCAUAAGCGCACGGUAUCGCAUGGUACAGUGUGAAAAGUUUUUUCGGUACAAGAUGGACCCGCGUCUGAUUAGCUAGUUGGUGAGGUAACGGCUCACCAAGGCGACGAUCAGUAGCCGACCUGAGAGGGUGACCGGCCACAUUGGGACUGAGACACGGCCCAAACUCCUACGGGAGGCAGCAGUGGGGAAUAUUGCACAAUGGGCGAAAGCCUGAUGCAGCGACGCCGCGUGAGCGAAGAAGUAUUUCGGUAUGUAAAGCUCUAUCAGCAGGGAAGAUAAUGACGUAC
rnacentral:rRNA from 1 species